GGCGUCAGGGUGCUAAAACUGACGCAUCAACGCCGCGUGAGGGAUGACGGUUUUCGGAUUGUAAACCUCUUUCAAUGGGGACGAAGCCGCAAGGUGACGGUACCUAUAGAACAAGCCCCGGCUAACUACGUGCCAGCAGCCGCGGUAAUACGUAGGGGGCAAGCGUUGUCCGGAUUUAUUGGGCGUAAAGCGCGUGUAGGCGGCUUUUUAAGUCCGAUGUGAAAACUCUCGGCUCAACUGGGAGACUGCAUUGGAAACUGGAUAGCUGGAGUGCAGGAGAGGGAAGUGGAAUUCCUAGUGUAGCGGUGAAAUGCGCAGAUAUUAGGAGGAACACCAGUGGCGAAGGCGGCUUCCUGGACUGUAACUGACGCUGAGACGCGAAAGCUAGGGGAGCAAACAGGAUUAGAUACCCUGGUAGUCCUAGCCGUAAACGAU
rnacentral:rRNA from 1 species